UAAAAAGUUUUUUGUUUUGGUUCUGACAUUUCAUGAGGUCGAUAAUAUCAGAUUUAUUUUAAAUUAUUAUUAUGCUAUACAUGACAAUGUAUGUUCGUUGUAUGUUUCUGUGUGUUUAUAUUACAAAUAUAUGUGAGAUACGA